rfam:Basidiobolus meristosporus CBS 931.73 K493scaffold_691, whole genome shotgun sequence.
GCGCUAGUAGUAUAGCGGUAGAAUAACUGCCUUCCAAGCAGUUGGCCUGGGUUCGACUCCCAGCUAGCGCA